rnacentral:misc_RNA from 1 species
GAAAUGCGAUAAGUAGUGUGAAUUGCAGAAUUCAGUGAAUCAUCGAAUCUUUGAACGCACAUUGCGCCCCUUGGUAUUCCAUGGGGCAUGCCUGUUCGAGCGUCAUUUGUACCCUCAAGCUCUGCUUGGUGUUGGGUGUUUUUCCCGUCUCCGCGCGUGGACUCGCCCCAAAGUGAUUGGCAGCCGGCGUACUGGUCCCGGAGCGCAGCACAUGUCGCGCAAACGAGUGCCUUGGUACGGCGGCGUCCAUAAGCCCCUCUCUCACGCUCUUGACCUCGGAUCAGGUAGGGAUACCCGCUGAACUUAAGC